CGGUCACCGGUGGUGUGCUAAUGCCACCUCCUCCCUACCUCUGCGCCCUGCAAUCAGCCCUGCCUUGGUGGGCUGCUGAAUCCCGGGAAACCCGUCAACUGUUUAUCCCUCUUCCUCAGAAAGAUGUUUCCCCGAGAGCUGGCUGAAUGAGGCGCACUGCCCCCAAGUCAGUGCUGCAUGCCUUAGGGAAUAGUGAUGGAGUAGUCCUCUACCCUCAGGGAAAUUCUAAAACACAGUAAGAGCAAAAUGAAUCGAGCCUUUGAAGGCAUGGCGCUAAGGGUUUUAGUUGCAAUCAUCUCAUGCACUCUUCUCAACUCUGAUAGGAGGGCUGUUCCUCCCAACUCAAGUGUGACAUCUGCUUAAAAGAUGAAACCAGCCUCAUUCCAAAUGAAUGACAUCUGGACAGCUCUUCAAGGAUGAACAUUUUAUUUGAAUAUAGGCACUUGGCAGAGUAAAUACAUGGUUACAAAGUGUUUUAAGUUUACUUGCUUUACAUAGUGACCAGAAAAGUCAAUCCGCUGCCGUGUAGAUUUUUUUUUCUUGAUGUUGCGACUUUAGAAGGCAAAGCCCUAAACCCGUCUCUUUAUGGUAACGUGUGAAGACACAUGUUGCACUGAGUGGAACUAUUAUUAUGAAGUCAAUCAUGUUCUUCCAUUCCCCACAUCAAAAUUGCUAUGGAUCACAUAUCACUUAACCUUAUUAUGAGGAACAAAAAUCACUUUUGUCUUGGAGAAUUGUGAAACCUUUUGAAAUCACUAGCUCUGAUAUAGAGGACUACAAAACCAGACUUGAGAGAAGUUUUAUAAUAAAAUAUGUAAGGCCAGAAAGCUUUUGGACAAAUUGGAAUCUACCCUUGUAGUCCCCAAAAUCUUUUUUUUUUUUUUUUAAGAGAGUCUACUAUGUGUAAUGCAAGGCACUACUCUCUCUGCUCAAAGCUACAAGGGAAAAAAUGACAAGCCCAAUUUUUUUCAAGGAAAAUAUAUUUUCCUUAUGAAAGGUCAGUAGUAAAAGAACUAGUUUAAAGUCAGGGAGUUUUUGCCAAAAACCAUGUCUCAAGGUUUUAUGCAUUUCUAAUGGCUUUGCCCAUAGGAGAGAUCCCCAGAGCGGCACACAGAGGCUUUUCAUGCUGCUCAUUUAGAUCAGAAUAACCUUGCUCCAAUCUGGAAACCACCGAAACAACACAUACAAGUCUGUAUGAAAAGCAAAAUGAACUCAUGGUGAUAUGAAGUUAUUCCAUUCAACAUGUUAAAAUGAAUACAGAGCAUUUUAAAUGUACUCUAGUUUCCCGUUCCAUCUUCAAGUGAAAUAAUCAUCCUGCUUAUUCUAGAAAACUUGUCUUUUUUUUUUUGAGACAGGUUCUCAUUUUAUUGCCCAGGCUGGAGUGCAGUGGUACAAUCAUAGCUCACUGCAGCCUUAACUUCCCU